rnacentral:rRNA from 1 species
CCUACGGGAGGCAGCAGUGGGGAAUAUUGGGCAAUGGAGGCAACUCUGACCCAGCAACGCCGCGUGAAUGAUGAAGGUCUUCGGAUUGUAAAGUUCUGUGAUGGGGGAUGAACACAAUGACGGUACCCCAAUAGCAAGCCACGGCUAACUACGUGCCAGCCGCCGCGGAAAGACGUAGGGGGCAAGCGUUAUCCGGAAUGACUGGGCGUAAAGGGUGCGUAGGGGGUUUGGUAAGUUGGCGGUGGAAUUCCCGGGCUCAACCUGGGCGCUACCGCCGAAACUAGUAGACGAGAGUGCAGGAGGGGUGAGUAGAAUUCCUAGUGUAGCGGUGGAAUGCGUAGAUAUUAGGAGGAACAUCAGGGGCGAAGGCGACCUACUGGACGGUAACUGACACUGAGGUACGAAAGCGUGGGGAGCAAACAGGAUUAGAUACCCCUGUAGUC